GAUGAACGCUAGCGGCAGGCCUAAUACAUGCAAGUCGAGGGGCAGCGGGAGUAGCAAUACUUGCCGGCGACCGGCGCACGGGUGCGUAACACGUAUGUAAUCUACCCUUUACUGGAGAAUAGCCCGAAGAAAUUCGGAUUAAUGCUCCAUAAUAUCACUGGAAGGCAUCUUUUGGUGAUUAAAGUUCCGACGGUAAAGGAUGAGCAUGCGCGAUAAUUAGCUAGUUGGUGAGGUAACGGCUCACCAAGGCGACGAUAUCUAGGGGUACUGAGAGGUUACACCCCCACACUGGUACUGAGACACGGACCAGACUCCUACGGGAGGCAGCAUUAAGGAAUAUUGGACAAUGGUCGAAAGAUUGAUCCAGCCAUGCCGCGUGCAGGAUGAAUGCCCUAUGGUUUUUAAACUGCUUUUAUACGGGAAUAAACCCGGGUACGUGUACCCGGCUGAAUGUACCUUAAGAAUAGGGUCGGCUAACUUCGUGCCAGCCGCCGCCGUAAUAC
rnacentral:rRNA from 1 species